GACGAACGCUGGCGGCGUGCUUAACACAUGCAAGUCGAACGAAGUGGCGAACGGGUGAGUAAUACGUGGGUAACUGCCCUCCUUUUUGGGAUAAGCCUUGGAAACGGGGUCUAAUACCGAAUAAAGGGGGAUGGCUCGCGGCCUAUCAGCUUGGUGGUGGGGUAGUGGCCUACCAAGGCGACGACGGGUAGCCGGCCUGAGAGGGCGACCGGCCACAUUGGGCUGGGGUCCGGCCCCAACUCCUCCGGGAGGCAGCAGUGGGGAAUUUUGCACAAUGGUGGAAACCCUAAUGCAGCAACGCCGCGUGCGGGAUGACGGCCUUCGGGUUGUAAUCCGCUUUUAGCCAUGACGCGGUGGUGGCAGAAGAAGCACCGGCUAACUACGUGCCAGCAGCCGCGGUAAUUC
rnacentral:rRNA from 1 species